rnacentral:rRNA from 1 species
GUAUUAGGAAGGUUCUUUGGCCUGCCAGUACCUAGUUAAACCGCCCCGUUAUUUUUGACCGUGCGAAGGUAGCGCAAUCACUUGUCUUUCAAAUGAAGACCUGUAUGAAUGGUGGAACGAGGGCUUAACUGUCUCCCUCUUCAAGUCAAUGAAAUUGAUCUGCCCGUGCAGAAGCGGGCAUACCCAUACAAGACGAGAAGACCCUUUGGAGCUUAACGAUGUAAGAUCAACUAUAUCAAGAAUUACCAAAAUUAAUUAAACUAAAUAGCAACUGAUCCCUAUCUUCGGUUGGGGCGACCACGGGAGAAAACAAAGCUCCCACGCGGACUGGGGACACCCCCCUAAAACUAAGAAAGACAUCUCUAAGUCACAGAACAUCUGACCACAAAGAUCCGGCCGCCGGCGAAUCAAUGGACCAAGUUACCCUAGGGAUAUACAGGUCAAUCCUCUUCCAGAGUCCAUAUCGAUCAAGAGGGUUUAUGACUUCGAUGUUGGAUCAGGACAUCCUAAUGGUGCAUGUCGGUAUUAAGGGGUCGUUCGUU